rnacentral:lncRNA from 1 species
UUAGACGUGCCAACUAUCACAUCACUGAAUAGUCUAUAGCUCGGGGCGUACCUAAACGUGCUAACUACUAUGUCAGUGAGUAGACGGUUAACCCAACUAUGCCUCUAGGGCCUAGUUGGUAGCAUUCUAUCAUGUCGUCAACGUCUCAAUCCAUUCGCAGGGGUUGUCAGAGGAAAUAUUGUCAUAUAAGUUACCUUUUAUUCCCUGUCGUGCCUCGAGGUCGCCAUCAUCCAUUGUCCCUCGGCCAAGCUUUGUCGAGCUUGCUAUAGAACGACAGCUCAAAAGUGAUGUUGGCCUUAGCUCAGACAGUGACAGUGCUAAGUAAUGUCUUGACCGAGCUCCGGCGUAAGGUAUCACACCCCACUCCGCUAGUACACGUGUCUAGGGUAAUCUAACACAUCACAACAUGUUUACUAUUUAGCAUAUACACCUGUCAAAUAAAAACAUAAGCUAUUGCAUGCUAUAAUAUCAUUAAAUCAAUACACCAUUGGCAUUUCCACAUGAAAUCUUUUCAUACUACAACUAUACUUUAAAGUACAGUACAUGCAAUCCUCCACAACUAAACAAAUUUACUUCUUUGAAACCAUAACCAAAAUCAAGUUCAGUAUAUAAUUCCAAAAUGUAAAACUAUAUAUACACAACUCUCAAAUACGAAAACAACUACCCUAUUAACAUCCUGUAUGAUAUUGUAGUGGACUGACCUCUAUCUCUAGCAAAAGUCUGCAACCAAAAAGGUAGCAGGAGAGUGUUAGAUAAAAUCAUAAUAGAAAGAAAAUUUGGUACACAAUUUCAGAUGGAUCAAAUCAUUUAAAAUAACCAGCUUUCUUAAAGAAGGUAUAUAAAAUAAUAACUAUCAACUUUUCUACAACCAUUCAAAUCCCAUAUUUGUAAAUAAUUUCUUCAAAUAUGAAAUUAAAUCUUAUCCAAGCAAUAACAAUAAUUUCUCUACAAUAAUCUUCUUUUACAUAAAUAAAUAACUUAUACUUUUACCAAAUGUGUCAAAAGGGUCGUUUAAAACUCACGAUUCGGGAGUUAUGACGGUACCGUUACCUCAGUCACGACAUAUAGUGAUUGUGAGGAGGGACAUUCUUUGUCACCAAUGGUAGGUGCUAGCAAGUUAGAUUAGUAAACAAUCAUAAUGGUAAGCAACAACUAGUUUAUCAGGCAAACAACAACCAGUUUGCCAUAGUUAGCGUAAGUACAACAACCAAGCUUACCAGGUAAGCACACAACCAAGCUUACCAACAAAGGCACAAGAGGCAUAAAAAUAACAUUAAGUAACCAUAUAUUAAUCAUCAAAUUAAAAUCAUAUCAAAAAAUUCUACGAAUAAGUAUUAUACCACUUGGAUACUAUUUUCAAAUAAAACUGAAAAGAAUUCAAAGUAUUAUGAAACUAUACACUCUCACCUAUACACAAGUCAAUCUUCUAUUUUGGCAGCAUACUAGACAUGCGAUUCUCGAUACCCUCACCUAAAAUAUGAAUUAUGCAACGUCUAAUCAGAUAUUAUUUCCUCCUAUAACAAACAUGCAAUGAAAUGCAAUAAUAUGUAAUAUGUAACUCUGACCAUGCUACAAUUCCGUAUUUUUAUGAGUAUAGAAAUAUUUUUUAUAAAUCAUAAAAUUUUAUACCCAGAAAGUAUAUAUAUAAAUGUACAACAUAUUAAAAUUUCAGAAUUUUUGAAUAUCAUUAACUAUUUUUAAAAUUCAAAAAUCAAAAGGAUAAAUUAUGCUCUGAAAAUCAAUGAUAACAGCUCGGUCUACUAUUUUUAUAAAUUUUCUCGAAUCUAAUUUGACUCCAAAAAGUUUACACAACAUACUAGACACAUAUAUCCAUUUACAGAAAAAAAAUCAUAAAUUUGUAAGCUAUGUAACUAUUUUUAAAAUUUUGACAAAUCUUCCUAGAAUUUUCAGAAAUUAUACUCACUCACAAAUAGCCCAAAACAGUCCAAAAAUCAGAUUCUCGACUCUAUAUUCACUCAAAUUUCAAUAUAACAUAAAUUAAACUUAAACAUGCAUAUGUUCCUUUGAUUCUCAUAGUUUGUUUGUUUUUUAAUUUUAUAAAAAUUCCAUCUCAUAGUUUGUUUGUUUUUUAAUUUCAUAAAAAUUCUAAAUUAUAAAACUAUGAGAAAAUCUGAAACAAAUAUAAAGUAUAUAAAAUUUGUACCUAGUUGAACUCUCAAACUGUUGUCGCUAAAAUUUUUCAAAUCUUUUCUCUCGGUGUUCUCUCUCUCUCUCCCAAGUCUCCUUGUUCUUUUCUUUUUCUUCUAAGCUUACUAGAGAUAGAUAUACACAGAUAUGUACAUAUAUCGAUAAGAACAAGGAAAGAGAGCAAUGGUUCCAAUGAAAAAAUUACACUUUUUCCCUUAUAUUUAAUAUAUCAUCUCACAUUAGAUAAGAUAUUUAUGAUUUACCCCAUAACGUUUAAAUUAUAAUACUUAUAUCCCUUGCAACUUAAUCAACACUAUUAAAUUCAUUCAUUAAGCAAUAAAAUUUUAAAAGA